rnacentral:rRNA from 1 species
GGCGAACGCUGGCGGCGUGCUUAACACAUGCAAGUCGAACGAUGAAGCUGGAGCUUGCUCCGGUGGAUUAGUGGCGAACGGGUGAGUGACACGUGAGCAAUCUGCCCUUGACUCUGGGAUAACUGCGGGAAACUGUAGCUAAUACCGGAUACGAGGCUCGAAGGCAUCUUUGGGUCUGGAAAGAAUUUCGGUCAAGGAUGGGCUCGCGGCCUAUCAGCUUGUUGGUGAGGUAAUGGCUCACCAAGGCGACGACGGGUAGCCGGCCUGAGAGGGUGACCGGCCACACUGGGACUGAGACACGGCCCAGACUCCUUCGGGAGGCAGCAGUGGGGAAUAUUGCACAAUGGGCGAAAGCCUGAUGCAGCAACGCCGCGUGAGGGAUGAAGGCCUUCGGGUUGUAAACCUCUUUUAGCAGGGAAGAAGCGAAAGUGACGGUACCUGCAGAAAAAGCACCGGCUAACUACGUGCCAGCCGCCGCCGUAA